rnacentral:lncRNA from 1 species
CCGGCGUCGACGAGGACUCGACUUGCUUGCACGCACAAACACUGGUCUACGCCUACAAUGUCAGCAUGGCCGUGAAGGCGGCUGUCAAGCUCGGCCUCAUCGACGCCCUCAGCGCCGCUGACGGCAACGGCCUGACCGCCGAGGAGCUAGCCAGCAAACUAGUCCAGGUGGAGGACAAGGCCGAGUCAGCUUCUCUGAUCGGCCGGAUCCUCAGGUUCCUGGCGUCCUUCGACGUCGUCAGGUGCUCGGCCGACAAAGCUCCUGACGGCACGGUGCUGUGGCGGUACUCGCCUGCACCGGCGUGCCGGUGGCUCACCACAAACAAUGGUGAGGGGUCCCUUGGCCCAAUGGCUGUGUUCGCCGUCGAUGAGGACAACUUCUCGUCCUGGUCCGUUCUAGUUUCAUACUAACAUUUACGAUAUGUUUUAUUAAUUAUAAUACAAGGAUGCAAUUGAGAACCUAACAAAAUAUAUGCAUCUCCCGAUCUUUAUGUUUUUCUACCCAUGAAGGCAUCACAUUGCGGAUGCAGUGGCCGGUGGUGGCAAGAAGACGCCGUUCGAGCUUGCCCAUGGGGGCACGCCGGCGUUCGAGUACUUUGGAAAGAACCGGCGUCUGAGCCUGCUGUUCGACCGAGCCAUGGCCCAGCAGUCACUGCUGGUGAUCAAGAAGCUGGUCGAGCAUCCCAAAGUGUUCGACGGCGUUGGGGUGCUCGUCGACGUUGGUGGGGGCACCGGUGAAACGCUAGCGUUGAUCAGAGACCGGUACAAGCACAUCAGGGGCAUAAACAUGGACCUAGCUCAUGUAGUCUCUGAGGCUCCGUCCCUUGAAGGUAGCCCCUCGUCUAUGUACAUGCUACUUCUUACUUGCAUUUGAUGACUAAAGGAAUUAGUAAGAUUCGGACGAUAAACUGAACAAAUAAUCCAGAAAAGAGUUUGUUUAUUUAAGCAAGAAUCAAAGUCGUUCAGAAAUUGUGGCUAAGACAGUGCAUGGGAUACAGUGGUGCGCAUCACGUUUUUUUAAUAAAAUUUCACAGGCGUGGAACAUGUAGCUGGAGAUAUGUUUGAAAGCGUACCAUCUGGAGAUGCAAUUUUGAUGAAGGUAAGUUUGAACAUAUACCGUUAAAUUUCACGAACUUUUCAUCCCAACCUACCAUGCGAAUAAAUAAACAAAAUACAAGAUUACACCUGACUAGUCCAUGUGUGUGUAGUGGAUGAUCCAUUUGCAGAGUGACGAGGAGUCCAUCUUGAUCCUGAAGAAUUGCCACCGUGCUCUCCCAGAUAACGGGAAGGUGAUCGUCAUUCAGAGCAUC